GCGCGAAACCUCUGCAAUAGGCGAAAGCCUGACAGGGUUACUCUGAGUGACUUUCGCUAAGAAAGUCUUUUGACACCUCUAAAAAUGGUGUAGAAUAAGGGGUGGGCAAGUCUGGUGUCAGCCGCCGCGGUAAUACCAGCACCCCGAGUGGUCGGGACGAUUAUUGGGCCUAAAGCAUCCGUAGCCGGUUUUACAAGUCCUCCGUUAAAUCCAGCUGCUUAACAGAUGGGCUGCGGAGGAUACUAUAAGACUAGGAGGCAGGAGAGGCAAGCGGUACUCAGUGGGUAGGGGUAAAAUCCGUUGAUCCAUUGAAGACCACCAGUGGCGAAGGCGGCUUGCCAGAAUGCGCUCGACGGUGAGGGAUGAAAGCUGGGGGAGCAAACCGGAUUAGAUACCCGGGUAGUCCCAGCUGUAAACGAUGCAGACUCGGUGAUGGACUAGCUUUAUGCUAGUCCAGUGCCGCAGGGAA
rnacentral:rRNA from 1 species